rnacentral:misc_RNA from 1 species
CGGCGCGGAGGCUGUGGGGCGGGUCAGUGACUUGUCUGGCAGGUGCGUGUGGCAGCUUCCCACGGCAGCGUCACGCCGCGUCACUCACACCGGGAAUUACUCGCUGGCCUGCUUGGUUACACGCAACAGUCUCUGGUCGGUGGUCGCUAGUGUUGGCUGCAGAUGAGGCGCGUCACCUGUGUUGCAGCAGACCACACAUGAGUGAUGGACAAACAGGAUGAGGUCCGUCCCCACGGCGUCCCGCGACGUGAAACUCAAGUGAGAAAAGACGUUCGUCCCGCCGCAGCGUCUUCCCCCUACUCCAAGGCUCCUUCCUCCCCUCACUCCCCUACCACGCCCCUUCCCGGCCCCCCUGACCACGUCACGUUCCCUCCACACGUCCGCACCUCCACCUCGUCCCCCAGUAAAUCCCCGCACCAGAGCCAAUCAGCGCUCACAGACAAGUUCUGGUCUUGCAUCCGCCUCCAGCCGUGUGCCCUCAGUCACGUUCCCUCCCCGCACAAACUAUCCGCCAAGGCACAAGAUAAUGAGGACCUUUCAUCGAGUAACCAAAGGAUUGGAGCCACGUUUUCAGUGACUGGGGCGAGGUGCGGCAAGGAGGUGGGUCGCGGGGGUGUGGUGAUGGGCAAGCAAUGGCCACCCACGGCUAGACCAAGGACCAGACGGGCCGGAGGUUGUAGUGGUAGUGGUAGUGGCGGUAGUGGUGGUGGUGGUGGUGGUAGUGGUAGUAGUGGAAGUGGCGGCAGUGUGUGUUCUGGUACCUCCAAUAAGCAUCAUCACUCCGGAAGGAACUUUGGAAGUCCGUCAUGGCACAAGAUCUUGAGUUCCCCGACACCCACCCAUGUCUACUUCCUGCUGGCGGUGGCGUCCGUGUCAGUGUAUGUGAACGGCCUGACGGGGGAGUACGUGCACGACGACCUCAGCGCCGUGCUCAGGAAUCCGGACGUGCAGGGUACAAGGCCGCUGUGGCAACUAUUUCUCAACGAUUUCUGGGGAAAACCAAUGAAGGAUCCCGCCUCCCACAAGUCCUACAGGCCCCUCACCAUCCUUUCUUUCAGACUGUGUCACAUGCUCUGGGGGAACAGCAGCACGGCAGAUCACAGCGUCAAUUUGGUGCUGCACGCUGCUGUCACGCUCCUGUACGCCCACACACUCCUCCACGCCCUCCAGCUCAGGCCAGCUCAAGUCCUCCUUAGUGGGCUCACCUUCGCCACCCACCCCGUCCACACUGAGGCAGUAACAGGUGUGGUGGGACGAGCGGAUUUGCUGGCGGCCGCGGCGUUCCUGGCCUCCUUCUGCGCCUACCACAGGUCGGUGGUGGCAGCAGGGAGUGGAAGGGAAGGGGCGUGGCUGCGGUGGGCGGCAGUGUGGGCUUGCGUGGGCGUGGGCUGCAAGGAACACGCUCUCACCGUCCUGGGCGUGUGCGUGGCAUGGGACCUAGCAAUGCACGCGUCUGCUCUCAGAAGGUGUGUCCUGGGCAGGUGGGACUUGUGCUUACUCACCUACCUCGCUCGGAGAUUAGGCAAAGUGAUUGGUCUGAGCGUGGUGGUGGUGAGCGUGAGGGUGGGGAUGAUGAGGGGCGCUCCAGUCUUCUCGGAUCAGGACAACCCAGCCUCCUUCAGCCGCAGUCCCCUUACCAGGUUCCUGACCAAGACUUUUUUACCGGCGCAUAACACGUGGCUGCUGCUGUGUCCUGUGCAGCUCUCCUAUGACUGGCAGCUGGGGUCCAUUCCUCUUGUGACUUCACUGUCCGACCUCAGAAACGCCGCUUCUUGUGCAUUGUACGGCGCCCUCGUCCUCCUCCUCUGCUCCUCCUUCAGAUCCAGGCGGAGUCAGGAGGGCCGGGCAUCGCUGUGGGCUCUCCUGGUGCUGGUGAUUCCAUUCCUCCCGGCAUCCAACUUGCUAUUCCCUGUGGGCUUCAUGGUGGCCGAGCGUGUCCUCUACAUCCCCAGUCUCGGCUGGUGCACUCUUGUGGGAAUCGGGGCGGCGAGAGUAGGCGUGAGUGUGUCCAGAGUGAGCGGCAAGGUGGGCAGAGGACGAGCCGCCACCCACCUCCUUCUCGCCCUCCUCCUCGCCUUCUCCUUCCGAACCUUACGGAGAAACCUCGACUGGCGCUCCAGAGAAGAACUUUUUACGUCGGGGCUGCGGACGCUGCCUCACAAUGCCAAGAUGCACUACAACUACGCCAACCUGCUGAGGGACCAACACCGCCCCGAGAUGGCCAUACUCCACUACAGAGAGGCCAUCAGGCUGUGGUGGGUGUACCCCAGCGCCCACAACAACCUGGGGACGCUGCUUCUCCAGCGACACCCAGAAGGCAGCCAGUGGGAGGACGAGGCCGAGUGGCACUUCACGGUGGCACUGCAGACUCACCCAGGACACCAGCACGCGGGGCGCAACCUGGCUGCUCUCUGGAGGCAACAGGGGCGCGUCAACCCAGCGGUCUCUUUGCUCGAGUCCCACUUUGUCCCGGAGGACGAGGAGGGCGGAGACACAGGCCGCCUCCUCGCUGACCUUCUCCUACAGGAAGGUCGUCACAAAGAGGCAGAGGAUGUCUUCCUUAGACUAACAGCGGCACAACCCUCCAACCCUGCCGUGCUGGCGGACUACGCCGCCUUCCUGCACAAGCUAGGUCGAACAGAAGCAGCAGCGCGGCACUUUGAGGCGGCACUUAGCUUGGAUCCCGCCCACACCCACGCCCUCACCAGUUACGCUGCGCUUGUCACCGCCCACGAUCACCACGCCGACGCCCACCACCUGUACACACGCCUCCACAGGGCACUGACGCGACACUGGGACCCCGACACGGCUAUGGCCCUUGCUCGCCUCUGCAUCCUAAUGGGGAAGCUGGGAGAAGCAGAUUCUGUGCUCAGCCGCCUUACUCAACACCACCCCACGCACCUCACCGCUCGUGUCCACAUGGCGCAGGUUCGACUCCAGCAGCGGCACUACGGGGAGAGUGAGAGCCUUCUGGAGGGAGUGUUGAAGGAGGCGCCGCUCCACCAGGAGGCGCUCUACCACCUCUCGCUCCUCUAUUCCUCCACCAACCGCUCCGGCGAGGCGCUGGAGGCGGCAACGGCGGCAGCCAAGGCGUGCAGGGCGCCGCGGGACCUGUGUGCUCUUCUGCACGCCCACCACGCCGACCUGCUGCACACCCUCACACUGCUGGAGGAUGCUGUCACGAGCUACCAACUGGCGGUGCGGAUGGAGCCAGCACUCUCCCGGGCUCACCUCAACCUGGGCGCCAUCUACCACACGCAGGGUCGCUACCAGCUGGCAUGGAAGCACUACCAGACUGCCCUCACCAGGGACCCUCACAACUCACUGCUGCUGGAGAACAUCGAGAAACUGCGCCGCGUCAUGAACCCCGAAGCGCAAGGGCGGUGACCGUGGCAGGAGGGCGCGCACCAAAGUUCCCAUGAACACCCACUACUCUAGUCUGAGAAUCCUAAGCGAAUUUAUAAAGACACGGUUCAGUGAUGAAACGCGACGUGUGAACUCCCACGGCCCUCAGUGACGAGAGGGUUACCUACAAACCAAAGAAUGAUCAGUGCUAAGCUAGUGUAACAUGUGGAAUAGAGGUAUUUGAAGUGUUGUAGCCCCAGAUUAUGGCAGCCCCACCUACAUGCCGAACACGAUCAGUGCUAAACUAGACACAUGUGAAAAAGAGAAGCCUAUGCGCUCUUAUCACCCCAGACUGCAACAGGAUCACCUCACCAUUCACCACGACUCAGAAUGAACGACAGUGGCGCCACGACAGACAGUGCAAAGCCACGUCUGCCCCACAAGCUCUCUGGAUGCAGCAGUGGAGGCGGCUGGCUGUGGGUGGGUGGGUGGCCUUUGGAGAGAGCUCAGCAGGUGGCAAGAGCAUGACAUUAGCAGUGAGGAAAUAAUCUGGUUUAGUUAUUUGCGAGGGCAUGUCCUGCGGCCACUCUGGGAAAGGCCUUACCCCGCGCUAGUCAGUCAGUCAGUCAGUCAGCCUCAUCCUGCCUUGCUCAGACCCCGCCUCUGCGUCUAGUCUUAGUAUACCAUAUGCUGACUCCUCACGUAUACUUGAUAUCCAUAUCCAUGCAUGGCAUGUGACCUGCCGGCUGCCGUGGUGCCGCUGAGCCGUUAGUCACCGAGGGCUGCAUCUCUAGUCCCUCGCGCGGACACAUCCUUUAUGAGUAAGAGCGUGAAGUAUGUCAACAAAUUCUCUCAGGAAAUAAUAUAUAACAUUAGCAGCAGCAGCAGUGCCGAGGCUGUGAGGGUUGAGUAGCACGUUAUUGACCCACGUAGCGCCAGUUGACCCUCUAGUCACCCCAACUCACCCCACUUUGGACACCCGGGAGAGUUCGUCAGCACAGCAAUGCAGCCCACCACACCUCCCUCCUCCCACCACCACCACCACCACCACCGAACACAGCCACUCUCCCACGAAGUGCUGGCUGUUCAGGGUGCGACGAGCGGAGCCUCCCGGUGCCGUCCCUAAGCUGUACCAACCUGACGUCAAGGCUUCGCUCACAAACAUGAACAUAAACAAUAGAAACAAUUAUUUUCGUACAAACCAAUGAUAAUAAACUGCUUUGUAUUAC